UGGGGAAUAUUGGACAAUGGGGGCAACCCUGAUCCAGCAAUGCCGCGUGUGUGAAGAAGGUCUUCGGAUUGUAAAGCACUUUCGACGGGGACGAUGAUGACGGUACCCGUAGAAGAAGCCCCGGCUAACUUCGUGCCAGCAGCCGCGGUAAUACGAAGGGGGCUAGCGUUGCUCGGAAUGACUGGGCGUAAAGGGCGUGUAGGCGGUUUACACAGUCAGAUGUGAAAAUCCCCCGGGCUUAACCUGGGAGCUGCAUU
rnacentral:rRNA from 1 species